GUACUUAUCGCAUACUUAAUGGAGGAAAACAGCCAGCAUGGCGAAGGAAGAAAAUGUCGGGUGUUCUAAUAAUUGCCAACAACAAUGGAAACUGAGUAGUUUCGGACUAAGUCACCACCAGCCAAGGGACUUUGUGACUUUUCAGGUUAGUAGGCCUACUGUACGCGCCCAACUUCAUAAUGUUGUCACGAUUUUAAAUAAUAAGCUAAUUAAAAAAUGUCUUUGAGAGAUGCUAGUAGACUGAUUUCAUUAAACAACAUUUAUACGACGGAAUUUUUUAUUUUGUUGAAUGCGUGGAUCUAGAGGCGGGGUCGGGAGUCUUAACCCCCCCCCCCCCCCUAUAAAAUUAAAAUUUCUUAAUAUUACAUAGUAAAUAUCAAAGAGUUGUUUAAUUUGGGCAAGUACCUUUAUAAACGCUCAAAAUUACGAUAAAAAUAUAAUUAUUGUUUUUAGAAUAUACUCUCCAUUAUCCUGUUUACUUUUAUCGUGUACAUUUUGCACACUGCUAUGUACGCUGCUAUGUGCACCUGCAGUCCAAUCUAAGAUUGUAAAAAAUGUCUACAUACGUUUGUACACUUUACUUAUGUUAUUAUGUUUAACUUAUGAAUCGUAUGGUUCUUGGUAAUAAACAAUAUACAACACACCAAAAAUAUUCCUCGGACCCUCACAUCAUUUAAAAAAAAGUUCUCGAUUCGUACUGGGCUUGGUAGAUGAUAUAUUUCUAAAGUGUAAUUGAUCGUUUAAUAUAUAUUAUAUACACAGCCAUAACAGGAAAUUUUUGUUUAAUAAUUCAAAUGAAGUAUUGCAGAUCGAAGUACGGGUAAUUAUCAUGUACGAUUGAAACAGUUCGUGGGUGUAGGAUGGGUGUGGUGUUUACAAGUUUUGAGUGACAAUCGAAACACAUCCAGUGUACCGUAUAAAAUCAUUUCAUGAAAUCAAUUUAACCGCUUACGCUUGUUAAUCCGGAACAAAGGUUAAUCUGUAGUCUUUUUUACACUUGGACUUUAUAAAUAAUAGUUGUACAUGUGCACAAGUCCGGAACGGACGCUUGUCAAUACGGAACAAACGCCGAGAAUGUGUAUGUAAUAUGAUAUAACAUUUCGACAUUGUAAAUAAUAGUUGCACAUGUGCACAAGUCCGGAACGGAAUAUUUUUCUCCAGGGAUGUUCCCACCUUUCUCUUUAUACUAUAAAAACUUAUUCCCAAUAACUUUUAAUUUCAACAAUUAAAAAAAAAAAUUAAGUUAACUUUUCAGUCUGUUUUUGGAGAAAGACAAUUGAAAGUUUAAGUAGUAUAUAUUUUUAUGGUCGUGUAACAAUGUAGCAUGUUUAUUUUUGCAGAGGGGACAUCCUACUGUUUUUAUUGUCUGGGCUACAACAUGGGCCCUAUUCCACGUUACUGUCCUCGGUCUCCAGCCCUACUUCUUUCGAGAGGUUCUGCCCAACUGGAUUUGGUUCAUCUUUUUGACCAACUGGAGUUAUACCGUGUUAGCCAUCUAUUGUAUUACAGAAUCUGUCGUCGCCAUAUAUGUUAACGUGCGUCGUAAAGACAUCAUAAAUGGAGGUAAGAAACGAUGUUUUUUUUCCCAACAAUCUUAAUAACAUCAGACUUAAAAAACUGCACCUAUACGGUACGUUUUCAUUGAGGUGAGGUUUAAUGUCUAAUUUCAAUUGCAUAUUUCAAUCACUGUUGAGAC
rnacentral:misc_RNA from 1 species